AGUGAACGCUGGCGGUAGGCCUAACACAUGCAAGUCGAACGGCAGCACAGUAAGAGCUUGCUCUUACGGGUGGCGAGUGGCGGACGGGUGAGGAAUACAUCGGAAUCUACUUUUUCUUGGGGGAUAACGUAGGGAAACUUACGCUAAUACCGCAUACGUCCUACGGGUGAAAGCAGGAGAUCUUCGGACCUUGCGCGAUUGAAUGAGCCGAUGUCGGAUUAGCUAGUUGGCGGGGUAAAGGCCCACCAAGGCGACGAUCCGUAGCUGGUCUGAGAGGAUGAUCAGCCACACUGGAACUGAGACACGGUCCAGACUCCUACGGGAGGCAGCAGUGGGGAAUAUUGGACAAUGGGCGCAAGCCUGAUCCAGCCAUACCGCGUGGGUGAAGAAGGCCUUCGGGUUGUAAAGCCCUUUUGUUGGGAAAGAAAAGCAGCAGGUUAAUACCCCGCUGUUCUGACGGUACCCAAAGAAUAAGCACCGGCUAACUUCGUG
rnacentral:rRNA from 1 species